rnacentral:rRNA from 1 species
UACAGAGGUCCCGAGCGUUGUUCGGAUUCAUUGGGCGUAAAGGGUGCGUAGGUGGCUCCGUAAGUGGGGUGUGAAAUCCCGGGGCUUAACCCCGGGACUGCAUUCCAUACUGCGGUGCUUGAGGACUGGAGAGGAGACUGGAGUUUACGGUGUAGCAGUGAAAUGCGUAGAGAUCGUAAGGAAGACCAGUGGCGAAGGCGGGUCUCUGGACAGUUCCUGACACUGAGGCACGAAGGCCAGGGGAGCAAACGGG